AUUCCUGUACUUCAUAGGAAUCUUCAUGGCUGCCCUGCUGACCCAUGAAUGUGUUGUGGAAACACUCGAUUUACGGAACUUAAAAUAUUCAACAGCCUCAACAGUAACCUCAGCACAGACAGUUAUUGGAAUGUCAAUGGCAAUAAAUCAGAUUUUUGACAUCAGUCUUACUGACCGUAAUAGCAAGACUUACAAAUAUUUAUCUGGACAAAUUGAGUCAGCAAUUGACACAAGUUAUUCUAAUAAGCUAACUGGCUACAAGGUUGGUUCUGCAAAAGUUACUGGCUUCAGACCUGGGAGUGUUAUAGCAGACUACACUAUAAGUGCAACAUCCAACAGCCUUGAUUUUGGAGCAGCAAACACACAGGUUUCUGACUCUCUGAGAACACAAGGAAUAAUUUUAGCUGAAGAUGCCUUUGCUCAAAGUGAUCAAACCGUCUUCACAACAGAUCAGUUAUAUCCUCUGCAAAAGGUGGACCUAAACUGUAUACAGCCAGACUUUGCAAAGGGACAAAUAAAAUGGACAGUGGAUAACAAAGAUCCUGCACUAGACAACACAAGAUAUUUACUUUCAAAUGACAACAGAACUCUCACUGUAAAAAACGCUAAUGAAAGUGACAGUGGUCAAUAUUCAUGCAUCAUACAAAGGAAUACAAUACCAUACAUUCAGUGGCAAAACAUUGUUAUUAAACAAUGCCCCAGUAUUAUUGUGGGUGAUAAAUAUCGUGUUUUUCCAUUUGAUGGCAGCAGUUUCCAACUGAAAUGUUCCAUUGAUGUUAGCUACCUUAUUGAGUGGGUCAUAGGUGGAACAGUACUAAUUUCAGGAUCUGACAGUAUCACAUUAAUCUAUCCAAAGGGAAAUUGUAUAGAGGAAAUCUUUACAUGUCGUCUCAAGGAUCUGCCACAACUACAGAAUUACAGAUACAGCUAUAGCAGCGUCACAGUUAGGACAAGCCCAGAAAAUUAUGACUGUCAAAAUGAAAAACUUGGAGUUGGAAAAACAGAUGAACUGAAGACAGGAGUCUGUGGAAAAGACAUGAAAGGCACCAUAACUUACAAAUGUGAAUCAGGUUUUUGGAAACCAGUAGAGGACAACUGUGUACUUGGAGUUAUCGACAGUCUUAAAAACGAACUUAAGUCCUUGCUUGUGGAGGAGAUUCCAGUGUUUAUGGCUGACCUCAGUUCUGCCACAGUACAGCAUGAAAUUAUUGUAAGCCAGUCUGCUGCUACUGUUCAAGCAACUGUUGAUAUACUCUUUAACAUUGCUGAUUUGUCACAAUCAAUUUUCAUCAAUAAGCAAGUGAUGGAGAAUUUUCUAGCAACUGUGGACAUUAUUGUAUCAUUUAGUGUCAGUGAUACAUGGAACAAACUGAACAAAGGCAACAACACAAAAAACACCAGCAUUAAACUUCUGAGCGCUAUUGAGGAUAUAAGUGACCGUCUCACAGAUGAGUUUGAGAUUUAUGAAAAAUAUAUUCAGUUGAUAAGAACUACAAUUAAAAACUCAUUCAGUACAAUAUCAAGACUGCCAAACUCAGCUACAGAGAUUGUGAUACCACAUGUUCCUCAAGAGACUACCAUAACCAUCAUAAUCUUCUCAACUCUUAACAAUGUCCUACUUUCUCAAGGUACUAAUGACAGAAGGAGAUCAGAUGCGCGCAUCAUUGGAGAUGUGGUUGUUGUUAAGGUUAAUGAAAUGCUUAACAACAUUUCUUUUACGUUUGACAUUCAGUCUUUGGGAUAUCCUGAGUGUGUCUUUUGGAACUUUAGUCUCAACACAUGGGAUUCCACUGGAUGUGAAGUAAAGCACUCAAGGAAUAAAAUUAUGUGUGAAUGCAACCACACAACUUCUUUUUCAAUCCUAAUGUCACCGUUUUACAUUUUGUACAUAGCCUCAUCUUAUAUAAAUUACAUUGGUGUGUCUAUUUCAAUGGCCAGCUUGAUUAUAUGCCUGAUUAUUGAGACUAUCGUAUGGAAGUCAGUAAGAAGAAAUGACACAUCCUACAUGCGACAUGUCUCCAUAGUCAACAUUGCCGUGUCCCUGCUGAUCGCAAACAUCUGUUUUAUUAUUGGAGCGGCAGUCGCUGAACAGGAACAACCAACCUCUGUGGGGCGCUGCAGUUCAGCGGUUUUCUUCAUGCACUUUUUUUACCUGGCUCUUUUCUUCUGGAUGUUAAUUUCAGCGCUGUUGCUCUUUUACCGUACAGUCAUGGUCUUGUCUCAAAUGUCAAGGGCCAAAAUGAUGGUAUCUGAAUGAAUGAAUGGUGAUAUCUCCCUUCAGAGCACUACAGCAGGAUCAUCAUCCACAUCUGGACAAACUUUCUUGCUAAGGAUGCGACGGAGGAAUGUAUCUGAAGACA